AACGAACGCUGGCGGCGUGCCUAACACAUGCAAGUCGAACGGAAUUUGAGAGCUUGCUCUUAAAUUUAGUGGCGCACGGGUGAGUAACGCGUAGAUACUCUACCUGAUGAUUCGGGAUAACACUUCGAAAGGGGUGCUAAUACGGGAUAAGCCCACGGAGUCUUUGGACACUGCGGGAAAAGGAGGGGACCUUCGGGCCUUCCGUCAUCAGAUGAGUCUGCGUACCAUUAGCUAGUUGGUAGGGUAAAGGCCUACCAAGGCGACGAUGGUUAGCUGGUCUGAGAGGAUGAUCAGCCACACUGGAACUGAGACACGGUCCAGACUCCUACGGGAGGCAGCAGUGGGGAAUUUUGCGCAAUGGGGGAAACCCUGACGCAGCAACGCCGCGUGAGUGAUGAAGGCCCUUGGGUCGUAAAGCUCUGACAGAGGGAAAGAAAUGUGGGUGGCUAAUAUCCAUUCCACUUGACGGUACCCUCAAAGGAAGCACCGGCUAACUCCGUGCCAGCAGCCGCGUAACAC
rnacentral:rRNA from 1 species